AAGCAGGAACAGGACCAACAGCACGUCGAGUAGGGGGCGGGGCUGGAGGCAGGGCUGGAGUAAACACUGGAAACUGGACGGCUAGAAGACGUUCGAUUGAAAAUGGUCAAUGACAUGGAUCAUAGUGUAUACCGAAAUUUUAAAAUCAAAUUUCUUGUUUGUGAUUUUUUUGCUUUGAACUUGAAACAUAUCCGUGGUCUGAUUUAGAAAAAAGAAAUUAAAACAUUAUAU
rnacentral:misc_RNA from 1 species